rnacentral:misc_RNA from 1 species
AACCUAGCACACCUGCGGUGUGUACCUGCGGAAGGAUCAUUACCUAGAGUUGUAGGCUUUGCCUGCUAUCUCUUACCCAUGUCUUUUGAGUACCUUACGUUUCCUCGGUGGGUUCGCCCGCCGGUUGGACAAAACUUAAACCCUUUGUAGUUGCAAUCAGCGUCUGAAAAAACUUAAUAGUUACAACUUUUAACAACGGAUCU